rnacentral:lncRNA from 1 species
UGAAUUAAGACCAGAAGGAAGUGAGAAAAUGAAUAAUGCAAACAUUUGGGGAAAGAGCACUCUAGGCAGAGGAGGCAACUGCAAAGGCCACUGUUGUGGGUAUAAUUGUGUUCUCCUGAAAGAAGACACAGAAACAGAGACACAUGGGAGAAUGCCAUGUGAUGACAGAGGAGAGACUGAAAUGGUACAGCCACAAGCUCAGGAAUGCCAAGAAUUGAGAGCCACCACCAGAAGCUAGGAAGAGGUGAGAUGGACUGGCCUGGCUUCUUCUUUGGUUGGAUCUCCACUACUGAUCCAAACAACCAUGGCUGAGGACAGGGUCAUUUUGAAGGAAAACUUGCUUUUUUCCAAAGCUGCAGAUGGAGUUUAUUUUCUAAGAAGAGGAUAUGAAAAUGAGAAGGAUAUAAUGGGUAUCUUUAGCACAAAAAUCUUCACAGCUGUGAUACUGUGGGAGAAAUGUUCAACCUUUAACCCAGGUUAUCACACUUUUUAUUGCUGCAUCGUUUCAACCUCAUGCUUAAGCAAUCCUAAAGGGCAAGAAAAUGAACCCACUAAACAUUUAUGCUUCAAAAUCACCAUAUGAGAUGGAAACUACUCUCCUUGCCUUAGAAAGGAAAGAACUAAGGCUCAGACAAGAUCAUAUGGUUAAUAAAUAGGAAGACGAAGAAUGGAACCAGGUUGUUGGCCUCCAAAUCUGGUGUCUCACUGUUGUACUUCAACUGACUCACAGUUUCUUCAAGCCUUUGUUAUUCUACAAAAAUACAGGUACCUUCAAAGCAGCAACCAGUUUGUGCUUUUUUAAAAAUCACCCUUAUUGAAAUGAUAUAUAGAUAAUAUAUAUAUUUCUUAAAAUUUACUAAUCAUAAGUGUGCAGUUCAAUGAUUUUUAAAAAAAUUCUAAUGAUAAUUUUAUUGGGAUAUAAUCCACAUACCAUGCAAUCUACCCAUUUAAACAGUACAAUCCAAUGAUUUUUAGUAUAUUCACAAAGUUGUGCAGCCAUCACAAAUCAAUUUCAAAACACUAAUAUUACUUAAAAAGAAAUCAUGUGUUUUUACCUCUCACCCUCUAAUCUUCCCACUCCUAUCUGUCCACUCUCAAGCUAUAAGCAAUCACUAAUCUACUUCUCUUCCAUAUAUUUGCCCAUUCUGGACAUUUCAUAUAAAUGAUAUCACAUAUGUUUUCAUGUGACUGCUCUCUUGCAUGUUUUCAAGACUUGUCCCUCUUGAAGCAUGCAACAGUAUGGCCAAAUAAUAUUCCCUCAUGUUUCUAGGUGUGGUAGUGCAUGCCUGUAAUCCCAACACUUGAGAGACUGAGGCAGAAGGAUCACAGUGAGUUCAAGGCCAGCCUGGGCUACAUAGUAAGACCCUGUCCCGGAAAAAAAAAAAAAAAUCUCUCAUGUGGC